rnacentral:rRNA from 1 species
CCUACGGGAGGCUGCAGUGGGGAAUAUUGGGCAAUGGGCGCAAGCCUGACCCAGCAACGCCGCGUGAAGGAAGAAGGCUUUCGGGUUGUAAACUUCUUUUCUCAGGGACGAAAAAAGUGACGGUUCCGGAGGAAUAAGCCACGUCUAACUACGUACCAGCAGCCGCGGUAAUACGUAGGUGGCAAGCGUUAUCCGGAGUUAUUGGGUGUAAAGGUGUUGUAGGCGGGAGUGUAAGUCAGAUGUGAAAACUCAGGGCUCAACCCUGAGCCUGCAGUUGAAACUGUGUGUCUUGAGUGCUGGCAGGGCAAUCGGAAUUCAGUGUGUAGCGGUGAAAUGCGUAGAUAUACGGAGGAACACCAGUGGCGAAGGCGGAUGGCUGGACAGUAACUGACGCUGAGGCGCGAAAGCGUGGGGAGCAAACAGGAUUAGAUACCCGUGUAGUC